ACGGAAGUUCAAAGACAAUAUUCUAAAGAUGGCGGCGCGCAUGUUUCUCUGGAAAUGUGGCAAAAAGUGUAAUAUAGCCACACAGCUGGGAGAUACAAGCGAGUGACGAUCGAGUGACGUCAUUCUUUAGGGUACGCGCAUGUAUCCAUGGCAACGCUCAGCUGCGUCCUGCCAGUGAUUUUCUCAGACGAGUUUUCUCUUUCUUCGGCCGAAAAGGUUAGAAAGCCAACGAAAAAACUGCCAUCAGACUACCACAGCUGACAACGAGAGACGCGCGAGCACACACAACUGCAUGUUUGCCUAACACACACACACACACACACACACACGGAAAGAGCACAACAAUUGUAAAACUGUUAAUUUAUAAAUAAAUACACGUAUUUUGCUCC